GAUGAACGCUGGCGGCGUGCCUAAUACAUGCAAGUCGAGCGAACAGACGAGGAGCUUACUCCUCUGACGUUAGCGGCGGACGGGUGAGUAACACGUGGAUAACCUACCUAUAAGACUGGGAUAACUUCGGGAAACCGGAGCUAAUACCGGAUAACAUGUUGAACCGCAUGGUUCAACAGUGGAAGACGGUCUUGCUGUCACUUAUAGAUGGAUCCGCGUCGCAGUAGCUAGUUGGUAAGGUAACGGCUUACCAAGGCAACGAUGCGUAGCCGACCUGAGAGGGUGAGCGGCCACACUGGAACUGAGACACGGUCCAGACUCCUACGGGAGGCAGCAGUAGGGAAUCUUCCGCAAUGGGCGAAAGCCUGACGGAGCAACGCCGCGUGAGUGAAGAAGGUCUUCGGAUCGGAAAACUCUGUUAUUAGGGAAGAUCAAAUGUGUAAGUAACUAUGCACGUCUUGACGGUACCUAAUCAGAAAGCCACGGCUAACUACGUG
rnacentral:rRNA from 1 species